rnacentral:snoRNA from 1 species
ACAGGUGAUGAACUUAUUGAUGGGUAGACAGAGACACUGUGCUGAUUGUCAAGUUCUGACUCA